GUAGGGUAACCCAGAGAACACAGCCGAAGUGGAAUGUGGGGACGUCUGCGACACCGGGGACAGAGCAACUGUGGAUGAAGAGGGCUACAUCUGGUUCCUGGGGAGGAGUCAUGACACUAUCAAUGCCUCUGGGUGGUGAAGGCAUUGAUUGUCCUGACCCCACAGUUUCUGUCCCAUGACAAGGACCAGCUGACUAAGGAGCUGCAGCAGCAUGUAAAGUCAGUGACAGCCCCAUGUAAGUACCCGAGGAAGCUAAGUGAGGGCAGAUGGAAGGGGUCAG
rnacentral:lncRNA from 1 species